UGGUAGUAGCGCUGCCUGCAAACCAGCACCAAGGCUGCAAACGAAGCCAGAAAGAUGGUGGCCAGCACACCUAUGGCAACUAUCACCACGGUCUCCAUGCUUCCGGGGAGCUCCUGACUCAGUCCCGUUCACAUCGUCCUCAUGGGCUAAGGCUGCUGGAAGUGGCAAACUGGGGGAAGAGGAUGGCAGGAGCUAGGUUCCUCCACGACACCUCCAGAGACCUGAGGGCCUCAAGCUGCAGCUCCGGGGCACAUCCCGCUGCGCUCCCACGACGGCCCCGCGGAUGGCAAAGCAUCGCCUAUGCAGGCAAUCAAAGGAUGUUGAUGGAUAAGUGUUUCAGGCAGAAUAAUGGCCCUCAAAGAUGUUGACACCAGAAUCUUCAGAACCUUUGCAUAUGUUACCUAACAUGACAAAAGGGACUUUGCUGAUGUGAUUAAGGUUAAGAACUUUGAGAAGGGAAGAUUAUCCUGGAUUAUACAGGUCGACGUUUAUUUCUUUCUGAACUUUCCUGGAGGAUCAUCGGCCAUACUCCAGCAGAAGGGUGGAUUUGAAAAAAUAACGUUUCCACGGCAACAGUGGCAGCAAUUCAAAGGAAGACGUUGGAGAAUUCACAUGCUAUUUUAGCUGGCUCUGUGAUUGCAAUCACACAAAUCAUUACAUUCCAGCGAGAUCCCAUCAACAGAAGGUUUUUCCAUUUCAGUCUGUCAAGAUGAGUAAACAGAAACAUCUGAUAACUUCCACCUAGUGCAUGGAGAGCUAGAAUUUGAAGUAGGGCUGACCAAUACCAAAGCCUGAUGUCUAGUGAAAUUCACACAAUGCUGCAAAUCUGAAGACUCUGCAGCAGAUUUUGUAGGUACUUUCAGCAGAGGAGUUUCAGAAAUGCUUUGCACAAACACAGGUUCACCAAGUGAGUGAUCACACGGGAAGACCACGUGGGAAGAUUUUAGGUUGUUUUAUUAAAGUUCAUUGCUGAGAACACAAAGGCUGAUGCCACAGAGGGGAAAACGCCAGAUCCACCACCGAACAGCUAAAGCCAUAUGCGCCUGCUCCAUGAAUGCCCAUUUUUCAUCUUUAGUGGGCUUCAAAGUUAAAUAGCACAGACAACACAAAGGAAAAUAUGACCGCAGCAAAAGACAGAAACUACACUGUGGCUACAAUUAAAUCUUCAUACCAA
rnacentral:lncRNA from 1 species